rnacentral:lncRNA from 1 species
AUGAUACUUUCCAUCCUCCCCAACCUGCUCUCCCUCCCUCCUUCCUUUUCCACUCUCCUGCCUCCUUCCCAGAAAGCAUUUUCUAAUACAGUAGCAUACUUAGAAAAAAAUAUAUCACUUUUAUUUUCUAAGGGGACCGUGUUGUCAAAGCUAGAGCUUAAUUUUUUUUGGCCUGGAAGAGAUUUACCCUCUUUUCAAGCUGUGUCAUGGUGCUAUAUUCUCUGUCUAAUCUUGAACGUAAGGAAUGCAUCAAAGGACAAGUGGACCAAAUUCCUUCAAUGGACUCUCAGAUAUGUUCUCCAGCCACACAUUAGAGAACCCAGGACAGAGCGAGUUGGUUGUGGUGGAUCGGUUCCACUGCUGUCCCUGGAACUUGGGAGAAAGGUGCACACCACGGUAGUGUUGGAUAACCGCCCUGGUCACCAUGAUCCAGUUGCUUUGUGCUCCUUGUUCUUUCUCAACCACUGAUCCAUACCAGCUUCAAUGGUCUGAAGAAAGCAAUAAAUCAGAGUGAG